GCAUGAAAGAUGUCUAAGUGCAUCUGUCUGGCUGGCAUCAUGCUGCUACCCUGACUUUGGACAUCAUAUAAGUUGCUUAACUUCUUAGAGACGCAGUCUCCUGGCCUCUCAAAUGUAGAUGGUACCAGUCCUGUUACACAGCCUCCUCGAGAAGAUUCGACGCAUGCAACUGCUUGGGACAGUGCUGCUGCACACUAAGCAGUUAAUAAAUGCUCAUUAUUAACUUUAAAGAUUUUUGGCAAGGGAAGCGAUAAUACUGGGCGUUUGUUUGCUUUCUCAGGAUGCCAGCUCAUGGCUAACCAGACAAGCUGUCUGGCUGAGUGAAGAAAACUUAGUGGAGCAUGGGACAGCUACAUUUUGGCAUAAGGAGGGGCCGGUCUAGAAUUUGGGACAGGCCGAGGGGAAGGAUGGGGACAAGUCUGCAGCUGGGGGUUGACAGUCCUGGGAACUGGCAGCCUGAAGAAAAGCUGAAGUUCGUCAGCAGCUUCCGUUGUCCCAGGGGAAGCAGCUUCUCUUCUCAAGAGACUAGAAAGGAGCUCAGAGUCCAGAGUAUCUCUUGGGAGCUGCUGAACUAAAGGAGGCAAGGACAAAGGGGACAGCAUGGACAAAGGCCUGGAGGUGGGACAGGAUUCAUGGACUAGCCACACGGGCCCGGGGCGGGUGUACUUGUCUUGCAGUGUCCUGGUACUGGCUCUAACAGCACCCAGAAGCUUCCAAACAAAACACAGAGUCCCAAGAAAACCUAGGUAAACUAGAUUUCAAGUGUUGAUGGAAAACAAGAACAAACACAGAUGAAGAGCCUUUGUCGUGGAACAAUCCUUCUGGCCCUGGAGGUGGUGCACAUAACAUUAUUAGCACAGCUGGAGCUCCUAGAAGUGUCCUGAGAGUGGAUGAAAAGGGGAGGUUCAGAGAAGUGAAGUACGUUACCUACGAUCACACAGAAAGAGUGACGGAGCGGGAGUCUCCCCGAGGCCCUUAGAGUAAGCUGCAGAAAUUGCCUCUGUGGGCUCGGAUCCCUCGUUACUCCUCAAUUCCCACAAGCUGCCCAGAGCCUCUCCUGACCUUCAAGCACUCAUCAGCAUGGUUGUCUUCUUUCCAAAAUUGGGCUUACUUACCGUAGAGGAAGAAGCGUUCACCAGGUCAACUCCAGGCAAAGGUGCAGAGUGACUAGAAGCUGUGAAUAACAACCACCGCAAUCAUACCUGUGACUCACUGAACAAUUCUCAGAAAGCCAGAUGCCAAGCUAAAUAUGCGUAUCCUGUCAUCUACUGGCCAGAACAGCCUAAUGAAGACACCUAAUAGUAUCUCUUCUGAAGAUGCAGACGAGCUGUGGGCUGCAGGCUGCAGGCUGCUUCUGUCGACAGGAAUCCCUGAGGAGGACACUUUCUUCAAAGGAAAUCUUAGAAGAAAAGUUUAGAAUGUAAAAGCAAUUAGAGAGGAGGUGCCUGAUGGAAAGACCGAAGCCCCAUCGCCUACCCCAGCGUACACUGACAGCUAUGAGGAACAUUCAGUGUGCCUCAGAACACAGCCCUGAUUUAAUUCAUCCCCCUCACUUUACAGACGGGAUCACUAUGGGGCCGUGUCUCUGGUGACACCAUGAGCUAGUGCUGGAAGCCAAAGGCAGCCCAGGAGAGUU